UACGUAGGGGGCGAGCGUUGUCCGGAUUUAUUGGGCGUAAAGAGCGUGUAGGCGGCCAGGUAGGUCUGCUGUGAAAACUCGAGGCUCAACCUCGAGACGUCGGCGGAAACCAUCUGGCUAGAGUCCGGAAGAGGAGAGUGGAAUUCCGCGUGUAGCAGUGAAAUGCGUAGAUAUGCGGAGGAACACCGAUGGCGAAGGCAAUCCCCUGGGCCUGCACUGACGCUCAUGCACGAAAGCGUGGGGAGCAAACAGG
rnacentral:rRNA from 1 species